GGUAGCUGGUCUGAGAGGACGGCCAGCCACACUGGAACUGAGAGACGGUCCAGACUCCUACGGGAGGCAGCAGUGGGGAAUAUUGGACAAUGGGGGGAACCCUGAUCCAGCAAUGCCGCGUGUGUGAAGAAGGCCUGAGGGUUGUAAAGCACUUUCAGUGGGGAGGAGGAUGAUUUGGUUAAGAGCUGAAUUAUUGGACGUUACCCACAGAAGAAGCACCGGCUAACUCCGUGCCAGCAGCCGCGGUAAUACGGGGGGUGCGAGCGUUAAUCGGAAUUACUGGGCGUAAAGGGUGCGUAGGUUGUUGACUAAGUUAUCUGUGAAAUUUCUGGGCUUAACCUGGGGCUGUCAGAUAAGACUGGUUGACUCGAGUACGGGA
rnacentral:rRNA from 1 species